rnacentral:rRNA from 1 species
GAAUCUUCCGCAAUGGACGAAAGUCUGACGGAGCAACGCCGCGUGAGCGAUGAAGGCCUUCGGGUCGUAAAGCUCUGUUGUUAGGGAAGAACAAGUACCAGAGUAACUGCUGGUACCUUGACGGUACCUAACCAGAAAGCCACGGCUAACUACGUGCCAGCAGCCGCGGUAAUACGUAGGUGGCAAGCGUUGUCCGGAAUUAUUGGGCGUAAAGCGCGCGCAGGCGGUCCUUUAAGUCUAAUGUGAAAGCCCACGGCUCAACCGUGGAGGGUCAUUGGAAACUGGGGGACUUGAGUACAGAAGAGGAAAGUGGAAUUCCACGUGUAGCGGUGAAAUGCGUAGAGAUGUGGAGGAACACCAGUGGCGAAGGCGACUUUCUGGUCUGUAACUGACGCUGAGGCGCGAAAGCGUGGGGAGCAAACAGG